rnacentral:rRNA from 1 species
GCCAAGCCGUAAAAAAUUAAUUCACAAAAAUAAACGCCAGGGAAUUACGAGCUUUAGCUUAAAACCCAAAGGACUUGACGGUGUCCCACCCCACUAGAGGAACCUGUUCUAUAAUCGAUAAUCCACGUUAUACCUAACCAUUUUUUGCCUUUCAGCUUGUAUACCUCCGUCGCAAGCCUACCAUAUGAAUGCACAGCAGUAGGCCUAAUAGCUUUAACACUAAAACGUCAGGUCAAGGUGCAGCUUAUAAAAUGGAAAGUAAUGGGUUACAAUUUCUAACUUAGAACAAACGAAUUACUACAUGAAACAUAGUCAUGAAGGCGGAUUUAGCAGUAAAUAGG